AGCGGCGGACGGGUGAGUAAGCGUAGGAUCUACCCAGUAGUGGGGGACAACUCGGGGAAAUCUGAGCUAAACCGCAUACGCCCUAAGGGGGAAAGCAGGGGAUCUUCGGACCUUGCGCUAUCGGAUGAGCCUGCGUCGGAUUAGCUUGUUGGUGAGGUAAUGGCUCACCAAGGAUACGAUCCGUAGCUGGUCUGAGAGGAUGAUCAGCCACACUGGGACUGAGACACGGCCCAGACUCCUACGGGAGGCAGCAGUGGGGAAUAUUGGACAAUGGGGGAAACCCUGAUCCAGCCAUGCCGCGUGUGUGAAGAAGGCUCUAGGGUUGUAAAGCACUUUCAGUAGGGAGGAAAAGUUGAUAGCUAAUAACUGUCAGCCCUGACGUUACCUACAGAAGAAGCACCGGCAAACUCCGUGCCAGCAGCCGCGGUAAUACGGAGGGUGCGAGCGUUAAUCGGAAUUACUGGGCGUAAAGCGCGCGUAGGCGGUUUGAUAAGCUGGAUGUGAAAGCCCCGGGCUCAACCUGGGAACUGCAUCCAGAACUGUCUGAAU
rnacentral:rRNA from 1 species